rnacentral:misc_RNA from 1 species
GAUGAAGAACGCAGCGAAAUGCGAUAAGUAAUGUGAAUUGCAGAAUUCAGUGAAUCAUCGAAUCUUUGAACGCACCUUGCGCCCUUUGGCCAUUCCGAAGGGCAUGCCUGUUUGAGUAUCAUGAACACCUCAACUCUUUAUGGUUUUCCAUGAUGAGCUUGGACUUUGGGGGUUUUGCUGGCCUAUGGUCGGCUCCUCUAAAAUAAAUCAGCUUACCGGUGUUUGGUGGGUAUCAUGGGUGUGAUAACUAUCUACGCUUGUGGUUUUUCCACCAGGUAACCUUCGACAGCGGAGGUUCACUGGAGCUCACAGAUGUCUCUCCUCAGCGAGGACAGCCCUUUGAAUGUUUGAUCUCAAAUCAGGUAGGACUACCCGCUGAACUUAAGCAUAUCAUAAGCGGAGGA